AGAGGCAGGAUACGAUGUUUGUGACAAAUCAGAGUUCUUUCUAUCACGUUUAUAGAAUUUAAAAUUUAGUAUGGAAAUUUCAUGAAGAAAAAUAAUAAAUAAUAAAGCUUAAUUAAAAUCAGAUAAUGAAGAAGGAAAACAUACCGCAAACAUCAUACUGAAUCAAGCAGGAGCUGCAACUGUGCGGGCGAAGAUCAAUGAACUAUCGCACAAUAAAACUUAGGCUUCUUAAGUUGAUGAAGAAAACAGUGUUUUGUUAAAUUAACACAAAACAUUCGUCAUCUGCAAUAGGCCAUCAAGUGUUCCCCCUGUACAAGUUGUAUUCCAAAAUUUCUAUCCUUGGCUGCCGUAAAAAAGCAAUUU
rnacentral:misc_RNA from 1 species